rnacentral:rRNA from 1 species
GGUCCCUACGGGAGGCAGCAGUGGGGAAUAUUGCACAAUGGGGGAAACCCUGAUGCAGCGACGCCGCGUGAGUGAAGAAGUAAUUCGUUAUGUAAAGCUCUAUCAGCAGGGAAGAAAAUGACGGUACCUGAGUAAGAAGCCCCGGCUAACUACGUGCCAGCAGCCGCGGUAAUACGUAGGGGGCAAGCGUUAUCCGGAUUUACUGGGUGUAAAGGGAGCGUAGGAGGCAGGGCAAGUCAGAUGCGAA